UGCUCAGUGUCACAAUGGGUCAGUGCGUCUGGCCCAUUGUUAACCAGAAGGUUGGUGGUUUGAGUCCACCCAGCGAUGGCUGUGAGCAG